CACGUAGGGGGCGAGCGUUGUCCGGAUUUAUUGGGCGUAAAGAGCUCGUAGGCGGCUCAGUAAGUCGGGUGUGAAAACUCCAGGCUCAACCUGGAGACGCCACCUGAUACUGCUGUGGCUAGAGUCCGGUAGGGGAGCAUGGAAUUCCUGGUGUAGCGGUGAAAUGCGCAGAUAUCAGGAGGAACACCAGUGGCGAAGGCGGUGCUCUGGGCCGGGACUGACGCUGAGGAGCGAAAGCGUGGGGAGCAAACCGG
rnacentral:rRNA from 1 species